rnacentral:rRNA from 1 species
GCGGAAUAUUGGUCAAUGGACGGAAGUCUGACCCAGCCUUGCGGCGUGAGGGUUGAAGGCGUUCUGCGUGGUAAACUCCUUUUACCUGGGAAGAAACAACAGCUUCCUUUUUUUGUUGACGGUCCAGGUUGAUUAAGCACCGCCAAACUCCGUGCCAGCAGCCGCGGUAAUACGGAGGGUGCGAGCGUUAUCCGGAUUUACUGGGUUUAAAGGGUGCGUAGGCGGGCUAUUAAGUCAGAGGUGAAAUCUCCGGGCUCAACCUGGAAACUGCCUUUGAUACUAUUAGCCUUGAAUUAUGUUGAGGUUGGCGGAAUAUAACAUGUAGCGGUGAAAUGCUUAGAUAUGUUAUGGAACACCGAUUGCGAAGGCAGCUGGCUAAACAUAUAUUGACGCUGAUGCACGAAAGCGUGGGUAGCGAACA